GAAAAAGUGUUGCAAGAACUGCUAAUUCAUGCCCCCCACCUAAUAAUGUGGCUUUUUCA
ensembl:Mt_tRNA